GUGCGCGCACCGUGCGUUUUGUUCCGGGUGAGCCUUUAGCGGGGAGUUGAUCGGAGCGUCCGCGCGCUUGCGCGUGCUUGUUUGUGGCGACGAACGGGGCCUGCGUGUAGUCGGACAUGCGUGGGCGCCCUCACGCGCGAGCGUGUCUAUAGACCCUGAGCCGACUGCUCUGUGGCUGGGGCGCGAACGGGAGGGCGCAGGCAAGUCUUUGCGCCCCAAGCUAGUUGAAGAAUCUGAGGUUUGGAGAGAUGAAGUGAUUUGAUACAGGUCACAAGGUGAAUACCUGGCGUCUCUGGAAGGAUUCACAAGAAACUACUAAUAUUGGAUGUCUCCAGGGAGGGGAACUGCAUGGCCAAGGGAUGGGGUUGUGGGAAAGACUUGUUACUAAAUAUACUUUAUACCUUUUGAA